AUGUGCCUCGCCUACACUCCGGUUCCUGCGCGCCGUGCGCAGCCGGCUGACGACCGCUUGCUACGUGUUGGUAGCC
rnacentral:sRNA from 1 species